rnacentral:misc_RNA from 1 species
UUUCCGUAGGUGAACCUGCGGAAGGAUCAUUAGCGAAAAGUCUUGGGGGCCUCUGACCGGGGCUCCCAACUUUCGACUCUACCCUGUGCACCGUGACCUUUUUUUCGCGCUCGUACGAGUUUAGGAUGUAUCGAAACAUAUACCAAUGGCACAAAAUGAAGCAACGGAUCUCUUGGCUCUCGCAUCGAUGAAGAACGCAGC